GGGACUAUAGUUUAGUUGGAUAUAACGACCGGCUACGAACCGGUAGGUCUCAGGUUCGACCCCUGAUGGUCUCG
rnacentral:ncRNA from 13 species